GUUGUUGGGUAGGGGAGCGUUCUGUAAGCCUGCGAAGGUGACCUGUGAGGGUUGCUGGAGGUAUCAGAAGUGCGAAUGCUGACAUAAGUAACGAUAAAGCGGGUGAAAAGCCCGCUCGCCGGAAGACCAAGGGUUCCUGUCCAACGUUAAUCGGGGCAGGGUGAGUCGACCCCUAAGGCGAGGCCGAAAGGCGUAGUCGAUGGGAAACAGGUUAAUAUUCCUGUACUUGGUGUUACUGCGAAGGGGGGACGGAGAAGGCUAUGUUAGCCGGGCGACGGUUGUCCCGGUUUAAGCAUGUAGGCUGGUU
rnacentral:rRNA from 1 species